AUCCAGCUGAUGAGUCCCAUAUAGGACGAAAUACACAUCCUGGUU
rnacentral:hammerhead_ribozyme from 1 species